GUUCUUUCUAAAAACUUACCUCCAACACCUACUGAAAAAUCAGACAAUAGUUUGAUGAUCUGAAGUCAUAUUUAGACCUUAACUCUGAGAGUUCAUUCACUGCUAACAAAGGAUUCCUUUCUCUGCUUCCUGGCAACAAUGAACUACUCAUCUCUGUCACUAUACCAUUCUACCAUGAUAUACCUGCCUUGAAGCCAACUGACCACGGACUGAAUACCCUGAGAGCUUUCCUUCAUAUUAAAUUUCUUCUCCUCUAAGUUCUACCACAGUUCCCAUAAAGCUACCAUUAUCUCUACACACAGUGUCCAUUGAGUCGUGCCUCAAGCCGUUAAUGGAAAUGUAUUAAAGGAUUUAUUGACCACCGUGGAGAAGCAGAGUUGAAGCAGAACUCAAACAAUGCCUUGAGCUUGCACAGUCCUUCUAUGUAAAGGAAUAUUUCAGGCUUCUAUUGAGUAAGCGAUGGCAAUAUAGGAUGUACUUCCUCUGCAUACAUAGCUUACGAUGUGAGUAGACUUGCCUCGAAAGGUAAGCAGCCUUUAUCUUUUUUCUAACAAGAGACAGAACAAACAAUUAAUACUGUUCUUAGCAAUAAAGACUUAGGUAAUCAGAUCAGGAAAUUCUAAUCCAGUAUCACCCAAACUGAAGAUCAUACCCUGAGGUUCAUAAUAACCUCUACUAAGGAUUCAAAUUCAGCACCUCCAAAACAGAUCAUAGUGUGAGUACCAAGAUAGUAAGAGGAAAUGUUACUGAUGAUAACAAAAUUUUGGGUCUUUGUCAAAUAAUUUAUUUUUUUUCCUAGAAGAAAAUAAAACUUCCUGGCCAGGUGGAGGAAGGGGAAGGCCUUCUUUUAUAGAAACAACAACAAAAAAAUAUUAGUCCUAGAGGCACAGUAUCCCUGCAGUUGGAGUCAACAUACUGAUUUUGUCUGGUUCCUGCACAUCUUUUGGUGGCACAUAGACUGUUACUGUAGAGCGUAGGGUCGAUUAUUGGGUAGCCCCAUAAUGGACAAGACAAAAUAAGGACAUUGGAGAGAAGCUUUGCAUUAUUCUCAAGUUUUAAGAAAAGAAAAAACAAAAACUCUGUUGUGAGCUAAGAUAUAAAAGGGCCUUCCAGAAAUAAAAAAAAAAAAUCAGUCACAAAAAUGGAAAAUAAUAAAAGGACUAUGUUUUAUUUCUAAACAUUGUCUAGCAUCACUCUUGACAUUUAAGAAUUUAGCUUCGGUAGAGUAGAAAUGAUUGCAUGUAACUUAUAAACAACUGAAAGUAGGUCUUGUAGAAUUCUUCCUAAAAUAGCAUAGAUGUGUAUAGAAACAUCUUUUUCCUUUGUGGUAAUUCCCAUCACUACAGAUUGUUUAAAUGUACUACCUAUAUUUUACCACAAUCAAAACAUUUACUUUCUUAUUUUAUAUUUUACUUGAUACAUAGCUAUUGUAUUUAUUGUUUUGAGUACAAUAGUAUGAUGAGUUAACUGUUAUUGGAAACAAUUGAUUAUAUAUUUCAAAAUAGCCAGCAGAGAGAAUUUUGAAUACUCGCAACCUAAAGAAAUGAUAGGUGUUCAAGGUGGUGAAUAUGCUAAUUAUCCUGAUCUCAUCAGUAUGCCAGUAUGCAUGGACAGAAGUAGUUCACUAUACUAAUUAUUGUAAUAAUUAGAGAGAGAGAGAGAGAGAGAGAGAGAGAGAGAGAGAGAUUCUAAAUUAAAUGGAUAUCCUAUCACUAUGUAGUUUGUUGUUAAUACCAUGGUGUCAUAAUGAAUUAUGAGGCAGCUAGGUCUUGAUUUGUAAAUAUCUGUGAGCUGUAAAUCCAUAUUCUUGAAAACAACACACUUAUAUCCAAAAGCAGGAGGUGAAAUUUAGACUACUGUGGAAAGCUUUCAUGACACACACACUCAGUUCUGCUUCUGGUAGACUGCAAGAGCACUGCACCAGAUAUGUCACAGUGCACGUGGGUUGUUUUAUCAGCAAAUUAUUCCAUCUACUGAGUGACAAGUUCAUAGGUGAAGAAACUCUCAUGUAGCAGGAGCCCAGAAAAUUAUAUACUGGUUCUGUAUCAUGGAUGUAUUGCAUCUCUUUGUGAAAAUAGCCAAAGCCAUGGGGAUCUGGUUAACCCCUAAUAGGCUGUGUUGUGUCCACUUCCCAGUAAAGGGCAUUGGAGCAGUAUGCUCCACAUUUUAUAUUGUUCAAGACCCACACAUCUUCAGUUAAUCUUGUGAGCGUGGUUUGUGCAGAGCCAUCAUCGGGAUAUCUUCAUUAAAAAUGAAUAUUUCAAUAUAUAAUUUUAGCUAAUAAUAUUCCAAGAGUUGUCUGAAUGAUUGAUGAAAUGUUAUAAAUCCUUUACAUACCUUUUCUAAAGAAGUGCAAAGAUGUCUUGCUGGUCCUGCAUCAUGGAAACAAAAUGGUAUUAGUCUUUUUUGGUUUUUUGUAAGAAAACCAUCACAAAAAGAAAGUGUCAGUAAUGUCAACAUUUCACAUCCAUUGUAGUAUUGGAAGAAGACAAUUCAGUACCAGUUAUGCCAUCGGUUGUUGCCAUAAUGCAGGAACUCUUUCCCUAUUUCCUGGUUUCCUGUGAUAUUCUCCAUAACGGGUCCAUGCUUCAGUUAUAUCCAUCAUUAAUAGAAUAGUAUAGCAUAAGACUUGAGCCUUUAUACUAUAUUGUGUGAGAAGAUGAAGCUAUUUUUUUCUAUUGGUAUAAGGUAUUAUUUUAAAAAUAUAAUCAUGACAAAUUUUGACAAAACGUAUCUAGAAAAGCACUGCAAAUGUAGUGAUGGAACCUAUCAACAAAAACUAAUGUGACCAGACAUAAUAGCAUAGUUUGUCUGGAUACCUACACAUUAAGCUUGAUACCCCAAAAUAUGCACACCAAACAGUGAGCAUUACGUGAUUAUCAGUCACAAUCAAAUCAUAGGAAACAGUAACAUCAAAGAUAAUUGUAGCUAUUGCAUCUUGGAGACUGUCAUGAACGAUGAAAUAGGAAUUCAUUUCCCAAGGCUCUGCCUUUCCUCAGGAAUAACAGAUUUCUAAACUCUAAUUUAAAUUAUGCGUAAACCAGAAUUACCUGAUAAAUCCCAAGCUACAUUAUUUCCUAGUACAUACGAUUUGGAGACUAGAGCCAACAAUAGAAUAGCAAGAAAAUAGAAUGUUUCCUUAGUCUCCAGUUUGUUAGAUUUUUCAGGUAUGAGAAUGACCCAAUGCCCAGAGUAGAGAAAGGAUGAGAGCUAUCCAGCUUAUUUGCCAAGAAAUUGACAAGUUACUAUUCAAAAUGUUCACUACACCAUUAGUUCCCCAGGUGCUUCUUUUUCUUUUCUUAGAAAUUGGAAAAUCUAUGGUUAUAAAUUUUAAAGAUGUUCAAGAUUUGAGGAAGCAUUCUGUCCCUGGAUUCUUUCCCUUUGUUAGUUUUCUACUGCUUCCUUAACAAAUUUCCACAAAUAUAGUGACUUAAAAUAGUUAUCACUCACAGAUGGUGGCAAAUUAGGGCUUGGCCACGUCUUUCUUGUAUCACAUUUGCACUAAUUAUUGGUUUAAAGAAAAUACUCUAUUAUUUUAACAAGCAUUGUGAUACUUUUAAAUUCAAGUGUGCUACAUAUUUUAACAUAUUCUGGAAUAAUAACAUUGUAUUCUAAAUAGCAUCAUUUUCUUUAUCGAGGCAGUUCUCUUACAUGGAUAGGUAAGUUGACAGUUACCAAAUUGAUAUUCACCAAAAGCUUGAUAAUCAUCUACAUUAUGCAUAUUAGUUUCAGGAGUUCAGCUUCUUGCUGAAAACUUCACAUUUUAUAAAUAUUCAGUUAUAAAUAAAGGUUAAAGACCAAAUUCUUAAAAAUGAAAAAAAAAAACCACUUUUCCACACUAACAUUCAAAUUUAAAUUGAACAGCCACAGUUAUGUUAGAAAAUCACUUUCCAACAUCUUUUGUAUUUCACUAAGAACAUAUAUUCCUAUUAUAUCAACUAUUUUUUUCUUUGAGAAUACCAAAUAAUAACAUUGACUUCUUCUAAAGUUAAAGUAAUUUUAGAUAAAAAUACUUCCAAAGAUAAUUAUUAUUACUAAACAUUUAUUCGUCCAGAAAGGAAUUCUAUUUUAGAGUGUGGUGUAGAAUGCAAGUGUGACCUUUCAGUUACAAUUAUCUAUGGUGUAAAUUACAAGCAAUAAAGUUUAAUUAUGCUAUAUUUAUGCAAAAUGAGGUGAUUAAACAUACAUAUAAGGUAUUAGCAUCAUGAGAAAAUCAGUAUUUAUGAACAAUCUGAAUUAUUUUUUUAUUUUCUGGGAUGUUAGAAAUAAGAUUGGAAAUUUAAAUUGUUUCUUUAGCAUGCAAGGUAGAUAUAUACAAUUAAUUAAAAUGAGUUUGGAGUAAAUACUACCCUGAAAUGUUUGACAUUUCAAAAAUAAAUAUUGUACAGCUACACAAUACACAGAAACAAAAAUCAAUUUUUUUCUAUUUAAAUUAUAUUUCUGGUUAUAUAAUUUGUUAUAGAUCUCAAAAAUUACAGUAUUCAGCAUUAUGAUAAAUGAAACUGCAUAUUUUAAUUUCUUGCUGUAUGAGAAAAGAAACACACACAGACACAAGGAUACACCUGGGAGCUGACACAGGCUUAACAGCCAAGAGCACAGAGGCAGAUGUACAGUACAAAUUUCCUUUGCUCUUAGGUCAUGAGUCCUAUUGUUUUCUUUCACAUGCUUUUUCUUUUCUGACUUUGCUGAACUUCCUCAAGUGUUUCUACUCACUGAGAUGUUCUGGUCUGAGAAAGUUCCCUUAGAAUUUAGAAUUUCUCCACUAAGCCUGUUCCCCUGAUUAAAUAGUAAAUAAUGAUAGAAUUCCUGUAAUUUCCUAUGCUGAAAAACAUGCACAAAACAGCAUUGUCUGGUGAUAUGUACAUUAAUUGAAUGAGCUGCUCAGAAAGUUAUAAAUUAAUAUGACUGAAGAUUUAAACUUUUAGAGAAAAAAAGUGACAAUAAAAAUUGAAUGCUCAGUGUUUUCAAAUAAUUGUUUCUUUUGCCUUCAUUAACAUUAUGUUGGACAAAACAAAAUUAACUCUGUUUUAUUUGCUACAAAGCCUGUACUUGCUUUUUAAGAUUCAUGAUAAAGUUUCCUUUUGUUUUUAAAGAAAAAAAAAAAAAAACAUACCAAAAAAAAAAAAAAAAAAAAAAAAAAAACACAGAACAAAGCAGAUCAGAGCAAAACAAUACAAAUAAAACAGGAUUUCAGAACAGGACAACAGGAAAUCAACAGUGGCUAGCAUAAUGUCUCUCGUUUUUGUUCAAAUAGUUGCCCAUACCCUCACACACAAUAAGUUAACAUAAAUUAAGAAAUUUUAUGAACUUAAUAGAUGUGUACAGAGUGUUCCACCUCACAACAACCGAAUAUACCUUCUUUGGAGCUUCACAUGGGACAUUCUCUAAAACAGACCAUAUACUAGCCCAUAGAACACGUUUAAGUAAAUGCAAAAGAAUUGAAAUUAUCCCAUGCAUAUUAUCGGAUCACAGCACUAUAAAACUGGAAAUUAAUGACAAAAGAACCUGAAAAAUUCCAUAAACACAUAGAAAUUAAAUUAUAUACUCCUUAACAAUCAAUGGUUCACAGCAGAAAGUAAACAAUAUCUACAAGUAAACAGAAAUACAAAUGCAACUUAUUGGUGCCUGUUGAAUGCAAUGAAAGCAGCCCUCAGAGGAAAAUUUAUUACAGUGAACUCCCACAUAAAAAAAAAAAAGAAUGAACACAAACAACCUGAUGCUACACCUCAAACAUUUAGAAAAAGAAGAGCACCUCGAGCUCAAAGAAGGGAGGAGAUUAUCAAUGAUCAAAGUAAUGGAGAUCAAUGUAAUAGAGACUAAGAAAACAACACAAAGAAUUAAUGAAUCAAAAAUUCAGUUCUUUGAAAGAACAAAUAAAAUUGGUAAGACUCUAGCCAACCUUAUUAUUGAGGGCUGAAAGUCCACCUUUGCAUUCAUUGGGGUGGUUUUGCCAGCUUUCAAUGAAAGUUUUGAUUUAUUGGAUAUGUGUUUAAGUCCAUCUUGUGCAUUCUCGUUCUUUCUUAUAUUGUUUAUUCAAGAUUUCAACCAUUUUGUUGUGUUCUUCUAUUUUUUUUAACUAUGCUUUAACUACAUGUGUUCAGUAUUUCUUUCAUUAUAAACGUUCUUGUUUUACCUAGGAGAUUAUUUGUGAUUUGAGUUCCUUUAGAGCUUCAUGGAGUUUCUUAACUUCAAUUACUACUAUUGUUGAAGUUUCAGAUGCAUGGCUUACAUUUUUUUCUAUGUCUGUGUCUUCUAUGCUCAUUUGGGAUGGGCUGGAAGUUUGUGAUUGCAUUUUGCUGUUUCAUUUUGUCAUUUUCCUAAAUUCCCCUCAGCAAGUUGAAUGCAAAGUAUCGGUAGUUUCUUGGAUUGAGGCUUGCUGUCUGCACUGCAGGAAGUUUCCCUAGGUGAGUGGAGGACACUAGGAAGUCCUUCCUUCAUUUCUAGUGGCUGCUCAAAUAUAUGGGGUUCACUGGGUCACUGAGUGGACUUUCAGUACAUCCCACAUGUCUCACCAAACUUUCCUGGCUGUUGAUGUUACUGGGCAGGGCCCUACCAGGUUCUGAGUGGCAUACUAAGCCUGAAUGAUAUGUGGCAUACAGUAGGCACAUGAUCAGCUCAUGUCACAUUACUCACCAAAGUGCCCUGGCUUCUUAGAGUCUCUGGGUGGGGACCACCAGGUUCUAUGCAACAUACCAAGGCUGCACGGCUAGGUGGAGUUCACUGUGGAGGCCUUCAGCUUGUGUCAUUCAACACCUGGAAGCUCCUGGUUUCUUGGGGGUCACUGCAUAGGGCCCAACCAGGACCUAUUCCAUAACCCAAAGGUCCCUGAGGAUUUGGGGAUACUAGGUAGGUCCCUAUCAGGCUCUGAGCAAAGUCUCUUAGCUGCACAGCUAGAUAGAGUUUGCUGUGGAGGUCUUCAGCUCACACACAGAGCCUCACAGCUACCUGAGGAUUGCUGGGCGGGGCCAAACCAGGACCCGGGUGAUAGACUCAAAGAUCUUAAACUGUUUGAAGAUGCUGAGUAGAGCCCUACUCUAUUCCAAGCAACAUCCGAAGGCUGUACAGCUAGAUAGAGUUCACUGUGGAGCAAAAAUUUACUUCUAAUUUCAAGAGUAGGGCUGAGGGUACAACUCAGUGGCACAGGACUUUGUCUUUCAGGUGCAAGUUCAUGAGUUUGAUUGCUGGUAUCAAUAAAUAAAUAAACAGUAAAAUAAAAUCUUAAAAGUUCAUUUGCUUAAUUCUUUGUUUAGGGAAAGACAAAUAUUUCUUGGAAAUAUAAUUUGUAUUUUUUGACAUAUUCUUGACCAGUAUAUUCUAAGAAAUGAAUGUUCUUGCAGGUAACUUUGUUAAGGAAGAACAUUUUAUAUAUAAAUAGGUAGACAGAUAGAGAGAAACAGAAACAAAAAAGAUUAAGAUACAGAUAUAAAUGUCUAGAUAUAUCUGUAGAUACAUUUAGAUAUAAAUAUAUACAGACAUACACAGUUACACACAGACACACUGUUCUCUUCAGUGCAAUGAAGUAGAAAACACCAGUAGAAACCCAGAGUGUUAAAUAAAAUGAAGACUCUGGUUACAGUUUCUGUUACCUUUCUGGAGGCUACAUCUUAUAACUCAAUGUUUAGUCUUCAAACCACCAUUUGGAGUCUGACAUUGUCUCACUAAUACAUUUUCAGUUAUUAAAUACAAUGUCUGCUUCUUCUGUGUUUGCAUAUAAAUUUCCACAGCCUGAUGUACAUUUUAUAACUGUCAGCCUAUUUGAUUAGUUCCAAAUAGAGAUUUUACCAAUCUCCAUUCUUGCUCAGUAUCAGCAGUCUAUAAAUUGCUGGAGAAAUAAAUUUUAAACAAAAUGUCCUCCCAACUCAGAAUACUUCUCUACAAUGGUGAAGAGGGGAAAAUGCACUGUAUUGUGGAAUAAUUAUUAACCAGGCUGUGAUGCUCAGACCUGGCAGUGCCUUAAGAGAAUUCAAAAGUGGAAAGAAGUCUCAUCUUCUCUAGGGCCAAGUGGAUUCAACUCAUUACCUGCACGCUCUCACGACAACAGAACUUGUUUUCAAGUUAGAGGAUUUAACAGCACCAUUUGUCACCCAUAUUUCAUCCCAGAUUUUCCUGAGAAUUCUGGUGAUCAUGCAUCUUAACUAAUUUGUUUUAUCGAGAGGAUAAACUUAGACUUCUAUGACAAGCAGUAGUUUGCUUCUUGGAACCAAAUGCUCACCAAAAUUAUUCUAUUCCCUUCUUAUAGAGACGUAGAUAUAGGGCUAUUAUUUUCCUCGACUGUUGUGUUUCAGAGGUCAUCAGUAGGUCCUUGAAAAAGUGAUUUCUAGGCCUUAAAACUGAUAGGAUGUUUAGCUUUUAUAAAAAAUCAUGUACAUUUCAAAAUUUAAAGACUAAGAAAAGGAGAUUAUGGUAGACAAGGUUUCUCCUCUUAAUUUUAAGAGGAAAAUGUUUUUAUUCUUUUCUCUGUUGGUAUUUACUUACUGCAUUGUAGCAGUAACAGCACAGUUGCUAUAGCCAGCAUAAUCACGGGGAAAGGCUGAAUGACAGGACUUCGAAUAUCAUGUGCUCUAGGAAUAUUUGUGAUAAGAAUUCUAUUUUCACUGAAUAAGUAAUGACUGUCUAAAUGUAAAAUAAUCAGUGCAAUGGAAAUAUUUUUCUACACUCACCAAAAUCUUGUUCAAAGUCUUACUUGCGAAAAACUAUAUAUACAAAGUAAAGGACUGGUACUAAAAAAUAUAGAGGAAAAGUACUCUAAUCUAGUGCAGUCACUAUAUCUAAUAUUGAAUCUUAUUUUAUUACAAUUGUUUUACAUAUUUUAUACAUUCUUUAACCUAUUAGUCUGAUUUUCAGUCUGAAUAUAUGAUAAUUAACUUAAAAAGCUAUAAAAUAAAUGACUCUGAUGCUCAAAAGCAAAAUGAGGUAGAAGGAAAGGAAAAAUAAUAUUUGAAAUGUGCUAUGAACAUAUACCAGUUCCCUACAGUGAAUGUAAUCAUUAUGUAUUACAAGCAUAUAUUAAUAAAAGUCAAUGAAACAGAAUUAGAAAAAUUAGUAUAUGGAGGACAAUGAGGUUAAGGGUAAGAUUAGAUAAUUUCUCUACACAAGAUUUUAUGAUUUUCACCUCUUUAGAAAGGGCAACAGGCACAGUGUUUAAGUUUACUAGUCAAGUGAUCAGUAUAAUUUCUUCUGAAUAGUUGAUUAUAAUUUUAUUUAACUUUGUGAUAGUUACCAUGAUCUGUUCAGGGAAAGAUUGAGUUACGUGUUAGUGUGUUUUAAAUCUUGAAGAAAGAGAGGUUUUGUGAUCCAAGCAUAACUUUAGGUUCUUACUUCUCUGACUAGACUUGAAGGAUAAUUGGAUCCAAGAAAUAGAAGUGCUUAAUUUAUAUGAAAUAGUUUUAGGCACCAUUUAAAAACAGAUUUGAUUUUUAAUGAAGUAGGUCCUGGGAAUUAUACAGAGAGGGGGGAAGAAUGUUAAAGUGCCUGGCAAAAUGUGAAUGAUCACAGAGGUCUAACAAGGUGGGGUGAGGGAAGCAUUGUCCUGUUGCUGAGAUACACCAAGCUCAUUUGCCCCUAUGGCAUCCGUAUACACCUGAUGUUCCUAGAAAGCAUGCAUACCCACUAAUUUCAUUUGAGUCUUUGCUCAGUGUUACUUCUUCACAAAGGCUGUCUCUGCACAGCUAUUGAAAGUAGUUUCCACUGUCCCACAGUUGGUUACUCUACAGUUUCUUCAGGACAUGAUAACCACUGAAUUUAGAAUGUUAUGUUACAUCUUUCCGAAUAAUACAUGGCUUGGCUGGUAAUAGAAACUUUGUAUAUCCUAUUCAUAAUAAACUUAGAACAUAUACCAAUAAUUAAAGAAAAAAGUACCCAAUUGCACAAAUUUAAAGGAGAGAAAUACAUUGAUUUCUGAUAAUAAGAUGUAGAAUUUCUAGUAGAAAACAAAACUGGCAAAAUUUCAAUUUUUAAAUUUUGCUCACAUGUCAAAAUUGGGGAUUUAAAACAACUUUCAAUAUUUAUUUUAGAGUACUUGAUUUAACUGAACUUUGUCCUUAGAAACCCUCUGAUGGUGUUCACUAACCCUCUGAAAGAGUAUAGCAUUGCUGUAGUGGGUUCAAUCAUUGGGAUAAUUGACUAAAUUCAAUUCAAUACUGAAUUACAAUGGGUAUAAAAUCAGUGAUUUUGAUAUAUCUAAAAAAUUACAACAUUAUAUUAAGCACCUGUAAUUAUGUCAUUAAAGUAAUCAAAUAAUUACGCUGAAUAUUGUAGAUCAUAUUUUAUUUGCAAAACUUAUCAGAUAAUGAGUUAAUAUGCUUCUUUUUCUUUUAUUUGAAAUUAUGCUGUCUUUGCCUAAGCAUUUAGUAUAGUGUUAGACAAACUGUGCACAUUCAAGAAGUGUCUGUCACUAGGGUGUGUGAAUGAAUGCUUAUUGUGAGAAACUAAUCUUAGAGUUUGAAAAGUUCCAGAAAAUAUUGGCAUAUUAUGCAAAAAGGUAGAGAACAUCACACUGUGAGAAUCUAAGUGAAGCAGCAAGUACAUUAAAGCUAGGCGUUUGUGGCAUCUCUUAAUAAUCCCACUGCUAGGUGGCUAAGCUUGGAUAGACUUCAAGUUUAAGCCCAUCCUGGGAAAUUGAAAGAGCUGCCAUCUCAAAAUAAGAUAGUAAAUAGUACUGGUGAUGUAGCUUAGUAGUAGAACACCUCUCUACUGCAAAAAAAAAAAAAAAAAAAAAAAAAAAAAAGCAGGCCGUUUAAAUUGUGAGAAACUGAAUGACUUGUGAAUAUUUUUAGUUUUAUUGAUUAAAUAUUGUAUUUCAUUAGGUUGAUCAGUUUUAUCAAGAAGUAUUCAUAAAUCAACUUGUAAGAGUCAAGUGCUCCAUAUUCUGUAUGUAAAGAUCAAUCAAUAGAAGCAUCUUUGACAAUUUUAUUUCUACACGGUUGUACACAAACUACAAUGUUUUCAACUAACUGAAUCUAGUUUAGUCCAAUACAUUUUCAAUGUUUUUUAUUUAUUCAUAACUUUUUACAAAAAUGAGAAACUAGGCAAUACUUACCAUUCUUUGUAUUAUACAUAUUAAUGUACAAAUUGUGAACCACAGGAUUCUCCAGAGAUUAAUAUGGAGCUAUAAAAAGAGAGCAAAACAUUUAAAAUAGUUGCUACAGUUCAUGUCUAGAUGUCACAAAACCUCUUGAGUUCAUGAUAGGGCUUUGAGGAGGCAGCUGGAUUGUGGGUGUAGUGUGCUGCAUUAGAUGGGUUUGGCUUAGCAUGGUCACGGGAGAUGGAAUUACUGAAGAAGGAAAGCCUGAGUGCAGUGGCACCAAACAAUAGUCCUGUAGCCUGGGUAGAAUUCAAAAGCAUAGAAGAAAGGCAGGCUCGUCGCUUUUUUGUCUGCCAUAGAAUGAGCAGUUUCUCAUUUGCCUUGGGGAUGUUCAACUAAACCUUCACCAUCUAUGAGCUAAAGUAAUUCUUUUCACCUUUGAUUUAUGAGUGUCUGCUAUGCUGUACAAGCAAUAAGAAACUAAGAAAUAGUUUAAAAGAAACAGUGAAAAUGAAAUCUUUUAUCUGAAAUUAGAUGUCUACAUUUCUAAUAAUGUUUCUUAUCAAAAUUUCAGAAAAUGGGAAUACAUUGAAGGGACUAUUAUCUCAGUGUUACUGAUGCAGUUCAGAAUGGGGAAUUAUGUUUUUUGAAGCCACAUUUCCAAUAGAUCAGAAGUCAGUCUUAGGAAUAAUCUGAUGAUCUGUAUGUAUUCCUGGAUCCAGUGAAACACUGCUAUAUUUAGUGAGCAGAAUCUUGUGAGAUCCUUGAUUAAAUAAAUUGAAUUAAUUUAAAAAGCCGCUAGAGUUAGGUCUUUGUUAUUUAAGGUAUUUUCUUUUCAUGUAUUCUGUCACAGCUUAGAUAUCUUUUAUAAAUUUAUAGCAUUAUAUGUGAUUAAAACACAAAACUUUCUUUUGGGGACCAAUAACAUGAUGACAUUAAUGUGUUAUACUGAGUUCUGCCAGAUUAAAUUGCAGCCUCGGUAAUGAGAGUAUGUACAGAGCUGAGUAAUAGCAGUAGCUUCAGGAAAAGCAACAGUAUGUGUGGUAUCUUCUGUCAUGUAUGAUGAGAUUACCAUAUUUGCUAAAAUACAAACUGAAAAUAUAAAAAUCAAGUGUAAUAUUCAUUAAUUUUAAUCUUUUGACUUUUUUAAAAUACUUAAACCAUUUAAAUGUUAACAUUUAAACACUUGAAAUGUUCUUGUAAUCAGUAGUAAGGUUUCAGUUAAAUCAUCAAGGAUAUAGCUCAAUAAAGUAUUUCCUAGUAUACCCUGAACAUUUUUUAUUGGAUUUACCCCUUUACAUAAUUUAUGUAUCAAUUAGCCCUGGAAACAGAUGCAUGGCAUCAUUUAUUAUUCCUGUGUUAAGUUAAGGAAUUGAGGCUUAUAGUUAAAAGACUUUCUGAACAGCCUUGUGGUUAACUGUUUAUUUUGUUCAAAACAGUUGGCAUUAAAUUAUCACUCUAUAUAACCAGCUUAGAAUUCCAGAAUUUCAACUUUGUGUCUGUUCCUUUGCCAGAGCCUUCAAAGAAUUAAAAGCUAACACAUAUACAACCAAUAAAAAUAUAUCAUUUAAUCAUUGAGUUUGUGGCCAAGAAAAUAAAGAUUAAUCCUUCUUAAUUAUUAAUGACAUGUAACUCUCAGACUCAGGAAGACAUGCUCUCGGUAUGGAAUUAAAUCGUACUGCAGUAAGUGAUCAUAGAAACAAGGCUAAAGUGCUAUACAAACAAUAUGGAAGUUAGGCUCAGUUGUCUCUGGUAAGACAGACUUGAACUACAGCUCACAGGAACACAAUAUGUCUAAAAAUGCUUUAACCAAGAUGAACAUGAAGAAUUGGAAGUUGAUAAAGUCCUGCUAGACCCCCUUUGACCUUGCCAUUUACCGAAAGUGUUGUUAGCAAUUCCUCUCUCUCUGGAGUUUUAGUCAGUGUGUCAAAACUAAAUAUUUUCUUCCUGAGAGCGUCUCCAAAUCUCACAUCUGAAUGCUGACCUUCUUAGCCAGUGGCUGAAGGUACAAGUUUCUUCCCUCUGAUUGUGGAGGGGGAAGUGUGUUUGUGGUACAAUUUUACCCAUAGCUUUCAAAUGGCUUAAUACAAUGAGACCACAGAUGAAAACUAAUUCUUCUAUAGCUUUUCUUUUCUUAUGUUAUCCCAGUUUAUUUACUGACUUUCUUCCUCUUCCUUCCUCUUCCUCUUCUUCUUCUUCUUCUUCUUCUUCUUCUUCUUCUUCUUCUUCUUCUUCUUCUUCUUCUUCUUCUUCUUCUUCUUUUAUUUUGAAGGUAGUAAAAUACAACAAAACAAGACAGAAGAAAGCCAAUCGAGACAAUGCAGUGAAAUUGGUACAUAACUUCAGAGCAGGAUACUGGGAUUAACGGCAAUUCAGUGAAAGACAAAUGGUGUUGUAUCAGUGGAAGAGAUACAAAUUAAAAUGCUGCAUGGAGUCAAGCAAGUAUUGUUAUGAAUGUAUGGAUUCCUGAUACAUAAUACACAUGUGGAUGGGUGGCUAUCAGUAUCUAUAUGUUCAUCAGAACUUUGAAAGCAAGGCCAUUAGUUUCCUCAACUUUCUGUUUGUCCUGUUCUAUUCAUUCAGUGUUACACUGGUUUAAUCCUAUUCAAAUUUCUCACACCUAGAACUACACAUUUCAUGUAAUAGAGAUUAUUGAAAUGUACUUGGAAAA